GCAAGAAUAAUGAUGGGAUGUUAUAUAGGGAGGAAGAGAAGAUCCCUUGAAAGACUACAAAAUCCGUUUGUUCCCCCGAACUAUGCUUUUCUUUUAUUUUUUUCUCUUGCCCUUUCUUUUUCUCCUUUGCAGCUGAUCUGAGCUGCCCACCACAUGCCUAUGUACCCUCCCCCAGUGCCUCUCUCUCUCUUUCUCUCUCUAUCCCCCUGACAUUGUUAACGGUUUCUCUCUCUGUAUUUCUUUUCUUUGAAUCAGUUUCAUAUUUUAAUUUCUCCAAUUUUCUAUUGCAUACUUCAGAUUGG
rnacentral:lncRNA from 1 species